CUUCACCAUGGCCUGGACCACGCUGUUCCUUGGCCUCCUUGCUCACUGCACAGGCUCCGUGGCCUCCUACGUGCUGACACAGCCAUCCUCAGUGUCAGUGACUCCAGGACAGACAGGCAGAAUCACCUGUGAGGGAAAUAACAUUGGUAGUACUUAUGUGCACUGGUACCAGCAGAAGGCCAGCCAGGCUCCAGCACUCGUCAUCUAUCAAGAUAACAAUCGGCCCUCCGGGAUUCCUGACCGAUUCUCUGGUGCCAACUCAGGCAACACGGCCACUCUGACCAUCGCUGGUGCCCAGGCUGAGGACGAGGCUGACUACUACUGUCAGGUGUGGGGUGGUAGUACUAGUGCUUACAGUGACACAGGCACAUGGGGAA